rnacentral:rRNA from 1 species
UACGGAGGGUGCUAGCGUUGUUCGGAAUCACUGGGCGUAAAGCGCGUGUAGGCGGUCCGUUAAGUCUGAUGUGAAAGCCCGGGGCUCACCCCCGGAAGUGCAUUGGAAACUGCCGAACUCGAGUCCCGGAGAGGAGGGUGGAAUUCCUGGUGUAGCGGUGAAAUGCGUAGAUAUCAGGAGGAACACCAGUGGCGAAGGCGGCUUCCUGGCCUGUAACUGACGCUGAGACGCGAAAGCGUGGGGAGCGAACCGG